rnacentral:rRNA from 1 species
CAGUAGCCGCGGGAAUACGUAGGGUGCGAGCGUUAAUCGGAAUUACUGGGCGUAAAGCGUGCGCAGGCGGUUCGUUAAGACAGAUGUGAAAUCCCCGGGCUUAACCUGGGAACUGCAUUUGUGACUGACGGGCUAGAGUAUGGCAGAGGGGGGUAGAAUUCCACGUGUAGCAGUGAAAUGCGUAGAGAUGUGGAGGAAUACCGAUGGCGAAGGCAGCCCCCUGGGCCAAUACUGACGCUCAUGCACGAAAGCGUGGGGAGCAAACAGGAUUAGAUACCCCCGUAGUCCCUGUCUCUUAUAC